rnacentral:lncRNA from 1 species
AAUCAUUUAGAAUAAAUAAUUAAAAUAAAAUACUAAUAUUAAAUAAAUACAAAAAUAAAAAUUAAAUAAAAUUAAAUAAAACAUUAAGAAAUAUGGAAAAUAUUUUUUGGUAUUUUUAUGAAUAAAGAAAAUAUUUUUAAAUAAUUAAAAUCAAAGCAGAAAAUAAAAUGGGAAUAAAAAGAAAAUAAAAAUGGAAUGGAAUAAUGGUGAUGGGCCUUGAACAGAGGGUGGGAAAAGCAGUAGCGCUGAGGCCCGGUCCAAGUGAUAUUAAAACCCAG